rnacentral:sRNA from 1 species
ACGCCUAUUGCCUAUGGUGUUUUGAGGGCGAAUGCCAUACUAGUGCCUUGGCGAGUCGGAAUUUUUGACAACGUCGUUCAAGAAGAUAGCAAGGACCACUGUCGUCAUCGAAUAAUGGACUCGCUCGGCAGAGGAUAUAUACGGUGGAGCGCUAGGAGCUGAUCAAACCUUAGCUUCAACUCCAGGUUUCUUCCUCGUAUUUUGCCCCAGUUGAUGGGCUGUGGCGUGAUGAGGUUCCCUGGCAUUUGCAUGGGUAGCAAUCAUUCUUUUAAGGAGAAGACGAGAAUGUACUCUGUACUGUACAACAGUAACUGGGAUUUUUAGGGCUAGAGGGAAGUGCGUUUCGCAACAUAAUCCGAAACGUAUGUGAUGGCUCUGAUGAGUGAUCCUGUUGAUCCCAUUUAUCCCUGCUGUGUCCGCAGAUCAUAGAUCAGCCACAAAAUUCGCAGGGCUCGGAUGGGGCUACACCACGAAAAGAAUAAAGAUAAGGGUAGUAUCGGAGGGCGGGUUCCUUUGCCCACAUUCUUACACCACAUCUCAUAUUUCGGGUAUUAGAUAUCGAUACAUCUGCGUCAGCCGCGUGCAGAACUGCAAAUCCGAGGCGGGCAACCAGUUGCGACAUGGUGAUGGCGCAGGUAGCUGUACAUUUCACUAAAUGGGGGCCAUGCACUGCAUACUGUAUUUGAUCGGGCUAAUAUUGUUAUUCUUGGGAAUAGUUGGGAACAUAGUUGGGCUAACUAUUAUCGUCAAUUAUGCUCUGUUGGAUUUGGUGUCUCGUGAGCCCAACUCCGCCUCAGCCA